GAUGAACGCUGGCGGCGUGCCUAAUACAUGCAAGUCGAGCGAACAGAUGAGGAGCUUGCUCCUCUGACGUUAGCGGCGGACGGGUGAGUAACACGUGGAUAACCUACCUAUAAGACUGGGAUAACUUCGGGAAACCGUAGCUAAUACCGGAUAAUAUAUUGAACCGCAUGGUUCAAUAGUGAAAGACGGUUUUGCUGUCACUUAUAGAUGGAUCCGCGCCGCAUUAGCUAGUUGGUAAGGUAACGGCUUACCAAGGCAACGAUGCGUAGCCGACCUGAGAGGGUGAUCGGCCACACUGGAACUGAGACACGGUCCAGACUCCUACGGGAGGCAGCAGUAGGGAAUCUUCCGCAAGGGGCGAAAGCCUGACGGAGCAACGCCGCGUGAGUGAUGAAGGUCUUCGGAUCGUAAAACUCUGUUAGUAGGGAAGAACAAAUGUGUAAGUAACUAUGCACGUCUUGACGGUACCUAAUCAGAAAGCCACGGCUAACUACGUG
rnacentral:rRNA from 1 species